rnacentral:rRNA from 1 species
GACGAACGCCGGCGGCGUGCUUAACACAUGCAAGUCGAACGGAAAGGCCCUGCUUUUGUGGGGUGCUCGAGUGGCGAACGGGUGAGUAACACGUGAGUAACCUGCCCUUGACUUUGGGAUAACUUCAGGAAACUGGGGCUAAUACCGGAUAGGAGCUCCUGCUGCAUGGUGGGGGUUGGAAAGUUUCGGCGGUUGGGGAUGGACUCGCGGCUUAUCAGCUUGUUGGUGGGGUAGUGGCUUACCAAGGCUUUGACGGGUAGCCGGCCUGAGAGGCUGACCGGCCACAUUGGGACUGAGAUACGGCCCAGACUCCUACGGGAGGCAGCAGUGGGGAAUAUUGCACAAUGGGCGGAAGCCUGAUGCAGCAACGCCGCGUGCGGGAUGACGGCCUUCGGGUUGUAAACCGCUUUCGCCUGUGACGAAGCGUGAGUGACGGUAAUGGGUAAAGAAGCACCGGCUAACUACGUG